GAUGAACGCUAGCGGGAGGCCUAACACAUGCAAGCCGAGCGGUAGAGUCUCUUCGGAGACUUGAGAGCGGCGCACGGGUGCGGAACACGUGUGCAACCUGCCUUUAUCUGGGGGAUAGCCUUUCGAAGGGAAGAUUAAUACCCCAUAAUAUACUGGAUGGCAUCAUCUGGUAUUGAAAACUCCGGUGGAUAGAGAUGGGCACGCGCAAGAUUAGAUAGUUGGUGAGGUAACGGCUCACCAAGUCAGCGAUCUUUAGGGGGCCUGAGAGGGUGAUCCCCCACACUGGUACUGAGACACGGACCAGACUCCUACGGGAGGCAGCAGUGAGGAAUAUUGAACAAUGGGUGAGAGCCUGAUCCAGCCAUCCCGCGUGAAGGACGACGGCCCUAUGGGUUGUAAACUUCUUUUGUAUAGGGAUAAACCUAGAUACGUGUAUCUAGCUGAAGGUACUAUACGAAUAAGCACCGGCUAACUCCGUG
rnacentral:rRNA from 1 species